rnacentral:rRNA from 1 species
UGGGGAAUUUUGGACAAUGGGCGGAAGCCUGAUCCAGCAAUGCCGCGUGUGUGAAGAAGGCCUUCGGGUUGUAAAGCACUUUUGUCCGGAAAGAAAUCCUUGGCUCUAAUACAGUCGGGGGAUGACGGUACCGGAAGAAUAAGCACCGGCUAACUACGUGCCAGCAGCCGCGGUAAUACGUAGGGUGCAAGCGUUAAUCGGAAUUACUGGGCGUAAAGCGUGCGCAGGCGGUUUGCUAAGACCGAUGUGAAAUCCCCGGGCUCAACCUGGGAACUGCAUUGGUGACUGGCAGGCUAGAGUAUGGCAGAGGGGGGUAGAAUUCCACGUGUAGCAGUGAAAUGCGUAGAGAUGUGGAGGAAUACCGAUGGCGAAGGCAGCCCCCUGGGCCAAUACUGACGCUCAUGCACGAAAGCGUGGGGAGCAAACAGGAUUAGAUACCCUGGUAGUCCACGCCCUAAACGAUGUCAACUAGUUGUUGGGGAUUCAUUUCCUUAGUAACGUAGCUAACGCGUGAAGUUGACCGCCUGGGGAGUACGGUCGCAAGAUUAAAACUCAAAUGAAUUGACGGGGUCAUAGCUGUUUCCU